GGGGACCCAAGCGGAGGGAUGAGGCAGAGCCAAGGACCUUUCCUGAAAGGAAUUGCUUAGCGCAGAAGGUCAAGGGAGUUGGCUUUCCCUCAGGCGUGGGAGCCUCUGCUCCUUGCAGUCCUUGGGAGGGGAAGAGCGAAGAAGAGAAUCCAGACAGGGGGGCCGGGCCCACCUCCCAGCUUCACCCCUCGAUCCCCUCCUGCCUCGCCCUCCAUUCUGAUUCACCAGCUCCGCUCUGCACCUUCACAGAAGAUCUGGAAUGCCCUUCCCUCCCUGACCCCUGUUUGCCAGGUAGUUGUUACACGUCUCUCAAACCUCGGCUUAAAUACUACUUCCUCUUGGAAGCCCCCCUGCUUGGAUCUCCUUGCAGUGUACCGUGCGGCUCCCUCUGCUUCCCCCUCCCACCCUUCAUCUCGCUGGGUUGAAACCAACUGUCUAUUACCUUCCUCGAGGGUAAGGGACAGCCUCUGUGUUGUUCAUAGCUGAAUCCCCAGGGCCCAAAAUGGGCCUGGCAUACUGUGGGUGCCACAUAAGUACUUGAUGAUGGGUAAAUACAGCAAUGGAGAUGUGGACUCUAGGAACUAGAGCUGGGAGCAAGGGACCUUGAGUUGGGAAAGCUUCUGGUGGCAAAGUUCUGUGCAGGAAUUUGAGAUUAGGAGAUGCCUGAGAUGAGUUCUUGGCCUGGACACAGCCUGGGAAAUGCCAAAGGGAAAUUAUGGCGUGGCUGGGGCUUCCACCUCCAGGGACGGUGGGAUAGGUAAUUUGGACCAACCCUCCUGCUGAAGACAAUUAAAAUGCCUAGAUUCAGUUAAAAAAGAUCAUCUUCUUAAGGCCAACAAAUGAUUAACAAGGUAGUGAAGAGUUCCCUAACAGAAUCUGGAAAGUGAGGAUCCAGGGAGGAAAGCCCUGUGUGGAAGACCACGUCUGCCCGAGGGCAUUGUCAAUCUGGAAGAAACGGACGCCUACCACAGCAUGGCUUGCCAAGCGGUUCCACAUCCACACCCGGGACCCGAACCAGCAAACCCCAGGCUGCUGAAGCCGAACGUGGAAACAAGACACCAAAAGCAAGAAUCAGCACAAAAAAGGGCAACAGAAAUAAUAAGUAUGCGACAUGUGGAAGUGUUAGCUAGUCUUGCGCUGGUAAUCACAUUGCAAUAAAUGAAUGUAUCAAAUCGACACAUUGUAUGCCCUAAACUUACACAAUGUUACAUGAUGAUAAUAUCUCAAUUAAAAAAAAAAGGACAACAGAAAUAGACCACAAGGACUUUAGGUAUUGGAAUUACCAAAAAUUAUGGUCUUAGAAUCACAGGCUCAAAGAUCCUCAAGGACAAGUUCAUCCUAAAAUGCAUGUGGAAAAACAAGGGACCAGAGUAGCCAAAACAACCUCGAAAAAGAAGAACAAAUGUGAAGGACUCACACUUCCUGAUUUCAAAGCUUCCCACAAAGCUACCGGAAUCAAGACUGCGUGCUACCAGUGUAAGGACAGACACGUAGAUCAAUGGAGUAGAAUUGAAAGUCCAGAAAUAAACCCAUAUACAAUGGUCAAUUGACUUUUGACAAGGGUACCAACAAACUCAAUGGGGAAAUCAUCUCUUCAAUAAAUAAUGCAGGGACAACUGGAUUUUCAUGCAAAAGAAUGACGUUGGACCUCUACUUCACACCAUACACCCACAUACACCAUUAACUCAAAAUGGAUUAAAGUUCUAAAACUGUGAGCUAAAAUUAUAAAACUGUUAGAAGAAAACAGGUGUAAAUCUUCGUGACCUUGGAUUAAGCAAUGGUUUCUUAGAUAUGACAUCUAAGCGUAAGCAAAGAAUGAAUAGACAAAUUGGACUUGAUCAAAAUUUAAAACUUGAGCUUCAAAGGACACUACGUGAAAAGACAAUCCACAGAAUGGAAAAAAAUAUUUGCAACUGAAAUAUCUGAUAGGGGCCUCAUAUCUGGAAUAUAUAAAGAACUCUUACAGUUCAACAAUCAAAUGCCAAAUAAUCCGAUUGAAACAUGAGCAAGGAUUUGAAUAGACAUUUCUCUAAAGAUGAUGUAUGAAUGGCCAAUAAACACAUGAAAAGAUGAUCAACGUCAUUAAUGGUUAUGAAAUUGUAAAUCAAAACCACAAAGAGAUACCACUUCACACCCACUAAGACGACUACAAUAAAAAAGACACAUUAACAAGUGUUGGCAGAGAGGCGGAGAAAGUGAAGUCUUUAUACACUCCUAGUGGGGAUAUAAAAUGGUGCAGCCACUUUGGAAAACAGUUUGGCGGUGUCUCAAAAAGCUAAAGAUGGAGUUCCCGUAUGCUGCAGCAAUUCCACGCCGUGGAAGACAUCAAGAGAAUGGAAAACAUGUUUACAGAGAAACUUAUACUUGAAUGUUCAUCACAGUGUUAUUCGUAAUAGCCCCAAAGUGGAAACAAUCCAAACGUCCAUCCUCGAAAUAGGGUGCACCCAGACAAUGGAAUAUUACUCAGCCAUAAAAAGGAAUGAAGUCCUGACACGUCAUGAAUGAACCUCGAAAACAUGCUGCGUGAAAGAAGCUUGACACAACCCUGCAUGUUCGUUCCAUUUAUACGAAAUGUCCAGAACAGGUGAAGCCAUGGCAGAAAGUAGACUAGUGGCUGCGGGGGUGAGGGGGUGGAGGGAGGAGUGACUAAUAGGUACAGGGUUUCAUUUGGGGGCGAUGAAAAUGUUCUGGAACUAGACAGUUGACGGUUGCACAACCUUAUGAGCAACCAAAAUGAUUGAAGUGUAUAUUGUCAAAG
rnacentral:lncRNA from 1 species